rnacentral:rRNA from 1 species
AUUGAACGCUGGCGGCAGGCCUAACACAUGCAAGUCGAACGGAGCGGCGGACGGGUGUGUAAUGCCUAGGAAUCUGCCUGGUGGUGGGGGAUAACGUCCGGAAACGGGCGCUAAUACCGCAUACUAUCAGAUGAGCCUAUGUCGGAUUAGGUAGUUGGUGGGGUAAAGGCAGACCAAGGCGAAGAUCCGUUACUGGUCUGAGCGGAUGAUCAGUCACACUGGAACUGAGACACGGUACAGACUCCUACGGGAGGCAGCAGUGGAGAAUAGGAGACAAUGGGCGAAAGCCUGAUACAGCCAUGCCGCGUGUGUGAAGAAGGUCUUCGGAUUGUAAAGCACUUUAAGUUGGGAGGCGUUACCAGCAGAAUAAGCACCGGCUAACUUCGUGCCAGCAGCCGCGGUAAUAC